AUUGCGCCUAGAGACACUGCAGGUGUGGCUGCUGUGUCACAUGUGCAUCAGUAGGUGGCAGAGAGGACAGAGGUGAUGUCUGUGCUCAGUGUUCUGACCUAUAAGCAUCUGAAUGAUUAUUAGCCUAACAUU